CCUGGCGAACGAAAACUCUGCCAUCCUAAUCCCACGUUCGCACAGCUACAAGAAAAAAAAAGUAACGACAAACCGGAAAGAUCCGCAAUCACGCCCGUGCCCUUCGUCCAACCUUCCCCAAACCUCGCGUUCUUCCUCUCCCCAUCGAGCGCCGCCGCCCCCGUCGCGUCUACGAUCUCUCCCACAGGCACGACUCGCUGCCCUCCCCUGGUCGCUGCAACUCGCACCUCACCUCAAUCGCCACCAGCCUCCCCCUCCACUACAUCGCCUCGACCUCCAACGCCCGAUGCUCGCCCUCCACUAGAUCGGCGCUGCCCGAUGUGUGGGAUGCGAGAGUCCGGCUGCAGCUGCGUGGCCACGACACGGCUCGCACGGCGCGUAUGCAGCAGCUCGCAAACAGCAGCGGCUCGACAGGAGCGGCGAUGGGCUGCAGGGCUGCGGCGAUGGCGGUCGUCCGGCAUAUGGAGCGGCUCUAACAGGCAGGCUGCUGAGCGCGAGUAGGGCUUGGCAGAGCGCAUAAGUCCAGCGCAUCAUGGCCGGGCCAGCGGGGCAACGAUGUACGCGGAGGUGGUGGUUCAUCGAUGUGCGUACGUAUCCUUACAAGAUCAACGGGAUAGGAUGCUGUGGAUUGUUCUCUCCAGCUGUUCGAUUUGCACAUGCGACAAUCGAAGUGUGCCUAUGUUUGGCCGGCCCUGGCUGCCCGGUUCACAGAUAUACAGGUCGAAUUCUUCGUUCUUUAUUAUAGACCGUUUCAUGUGCUUUGACUCGUGUCUGGGUCGGCGCAUCUAUUAUUUUCGGUCGCAAAUGUGCGCUAGCUCAUGCCUCUCUUGGGUGAUAUAAUUUUGUUGGGGUUUCUCAUAAACUGCAGUGCAUGUGUUAUGCAGAUGAACAAAAACCAUUCAGGUUCUGCAUCCACCCAUCAGGUUCUCUAUUAUACUGCAGGAGGAAAUCCUUUCUUAAUUCUUAUUGACCCUUCAAGCGGGAGGCUUUUAGAGGCAGCUUUCGUGCUUUUCCUUUCCGCUGGAACUGCAUGCAGAGUCUGAGUUCAUGGAGUGCCUUUGGCCUUUAGAAAGAAGAAGAAUAAAUGUUUCGCCGUUGAUCUUUCUUAUGUUCCUAGGUGCAUUGUUUUAGGUUAUGCCCUCAUAUGCAGAGAUGGAAAAUCACACAUUUUGCAUCCAGCUUUCAAUGGGAAUAAAUUGAAUUUUGUUUCGAAGCU